AAGUCGUAACAAGGUCUCCGUAGGUGAACCUGCGGAGGGAUCAUUAAUGAGAUAGGGUCUCGUCCUCGGACAGGCCCGACCUCCCAACCCUUUGUUGACCAAACCAAUACGUUGCUUCGGCGGACCGGUCGCAAGACCGCCGGGAUGGUUCACACCGUCUUGGAGCGCGUCCGCCGAUGGCCUUAUAUUAAACUCUUGUUGUAACCAUGUCGUCUAAUACUUGAUUGUCGAAUGACAAACAAAAACUUUCAACAACGGAUCUCUUGGUUCUGGCAUCGAUGAAGAACGCAGCGAAAUGCGAUAAGUAGUGUGAAUUGCAGAAUUCAGUGAAUCAUCGAAUCUUUGAACGCACCUUGCGCCCUCUGGUAUUCCGGAGGGCAUGCCUGUUUGAGUGUCAUGUAGACUCAACCCCUCGGGUUUCCGAGAAGGUUGGAUUUGGACGCUCGCCUGUCAUGGGCUCGUCUUAAAGGUCUUAGCGGUUACACAGCACCGUAGUCGGCGUAAUAAGUUUCGUCGAUGAGGGUGUGGUGUCUGCUUACAAUCGCCUCACGGCAAUCUUUUGACUCUGACCUCAAAUCAGGUAGGACUACCCGCUGAACUUAA
rnacentral:rRNA from 1 species